rnacentral:rRNA from 1 species
UACGGAGGGUGCGAGCGUUGUCCGGAAUCAUUGGGCGUAAAGGGCGCGUAGGCGGCCUGAUAAGUCGGGGGUGAAAUCCUGCGGCUUAACCGCAGGGCUGCCUUCUAAACUGUCAGGCUAGAGCACAGUAGAGGCAGGUGGAAUUCCCGGUGUAGCGGUGGAAUGCGUAGAGAUCGGGAAGAACAUCAGUGGCGAAGGCGGCCUGCUGGGCUGUUGCUGACGCUGAGGCGCGACAGCGUGGGGAGCAAACAGG